CUUUGGUUUCAGUGUCUUUUUGUCUUCCUCUGUCUUUGGUGUUGGCUCUGGCUCCUUGGGAGCUGGUGUUGGCUUUUCUUCAACAGGAGUAGGUGUGGGUUUCUCCUCAACAGGGGUAGGUGUGGGUUUUUGUUCAUCUGUGACUGGCUUUGGUUUUGGUUUCUCUGGAAUGAGUUUUUGUUCUGUUUCAAGUAUUUGUUCUGUUUCUUCAACCUGUGUAACGGUUUCCUCAAUUUGUUCAGUUUUAGGAGUUUCAGAAACCUCCUCUAUGACCUCUUCUGUGUGUUCUGUGACAAUUUUCUUUGUUUUGGGCUUUUUCUUUGGUUUGACUGUCUUUUUGUCUUCCUCUGUCUUAGGUGUUGGCUCUGGCUCCUUGGGAGCUGGUGUGGGUUUCUCCUCAACAGGAGUAGGUGUGGGUUUCUCCUCAACAGGAAUAGGUGUGGGUUUCUCCUCAACAGGAGUAGGUGUGGGUUUCUCCUCAACAGGAGUAGGUGUGGGUUUCUCCUCAACAGGGGUAGGUGUGGGUUUCUCCUCAACAGGAGUAGGUGUGGGUUUCUCCUCAACAGGGGUAGGUGUGGGUUUCUCCUCAACUGUAAGAGGUGUGGGUUUUUGUUCAUCUGUAACUGGUUUUGGUGUUGGCUGUGCUUCAAUUAUUUCCUCUGUGGUCUCUUCAGUCUGUGUGAUUGUGAC